rnacentral:lncRNA from 10 species
AAUCAAUAUCUGAUUGUUAGCAACAGAACAAGUGAUUGUGUGGCAUGCACUAUAAUCAAUUCAGGAUAUUUAAUAUAGAAUAUGUGUUAUCACAUGUUAAAUAGGGCAUAUGUUUGAACUUUUUAAAAAAACUUUUCCCCUAAGCAUUUGAGAUCAGCUGAAUUAAGCUGCUAAUCAUUAUUCCCCUUUGAUCUCAUUCCUUGGUCCAAGUCCUGAGAGAGAUACUGUUCCUCUUAAGGAUACUUACGAAAUAAUGACAUGGAAAUAUUUUGCUUGUCACAGUAUAUUGCCUGUUUUAAGACCUACUUUUAAAAUCAAAUAAGCCAUAAAUUCUUAUUGUAAUGCCAUACUUUUAAUCAUUUAAACUAAAUGUUUAAUCAGAAGUUGUCUAAUAUAAAAACUAGUAAAAAAGCACGUGAAAUGUAUAUACUUUAACCAAGAAAUUCUAAAAAUUGGUUUCUAUAGAGAAAACUGGACAGAAUGACAAUGUAUGUGACACAAAGGUGUUUACCACAGCAUUUUUUAUCACAGUAAAAAAUAGUAAAAAAAAAAAAUCACAAGCUAAAUAUCAAUGGAGAAUUGAUUAUAGUAUAAUAUAAAAAUGAUCAUACAAUGAUCAUAUAUACAUUUUUCACUUAUAUAGUAAGUUGUCCAUGACUUACUGGUUAAAAAAAGUGAUAAAACUAAAUAUAUGAAUAUCAAACAAAAUACAAAUAGUGCUUGCAUUUCGGUGGUAGACUUUUAUGUGACUUGUACUCUGUACUGAAUUGCUAAAAUUUUUUACAUCAUAUUCCCUUUUAUAAGGGUUAAAAUAAUAUAAUAACUACUGUUUUCAUUUUGAACAGACAAAAGUACAGAGUUCUGGGAUACAAUACAGUUCACAAAUAGUAAUCCUAUUUUGUACCCUUGAAAUUUAUUAGUUUAUUCUGAGGAUACAAAUAACAUUUAUAUAUGCACACAUGAGCCAUCUUAAUAUUUCCAUUUAGUUCAGAAUUUCAAAAAUAUCAAUCGAUCCUUGAACUUUCAAGUAUAGAAAUGAGUUUAGGGUAAAAUAGUAACCUUUGAAAUAAUUACAGUACUGUAUUAGAUUUGUCUUUUUCUUUAAUUGCUUAACUUCAUGAACUCAUUUGUUUUUUUCUUUUUAAUUUUUAUUCAUCUACUUUUUCCAAUCCCCAAUGUGAUUAAAUUCAGAAGAACAGUAUCUUUCAAGUAAAUGAUGCAAAACUUCCUUUCACAUCAUCUCACGUCCUUUCCCCCUUUGUAUUAGUAGAUAAUUAUACUAUCUACAGCCAGAACGAUCUUCCUAGACGUGAUCAUGCUAUGUGCUAUGAAAAAAACCUUCAAUGGGGACCUCCACUACCGAAAUGAUGUGGUAGUACUGGCAGUCGCUCCCAGGUGCAGUAACUAGGAAAAAAUGGAUCAAAUGCAAAAUACAUUACAGAUACGAAAGAGCUGUGGAAGCGCUUAAGACUAGAUGUACUAAAAGUCUUUGUCUUUUCUACAUAGCUGAGACUACCAACUGUUUUCUUUCCUGGCAUCAUUUGCCAAUUCUAGGCAUGGAUUAAAGAUCAGGCUUUGUGUGGACUAAAGCACUUUACUGGGGAAAAUCAGCAGGACUUUUACUGACUGCAUGAUCUAUCAUGAUGUACUAGAAUCUAGAGGAGCCCUAAACCCAAUACUGAGUGAGACUAGAACUUAGGGGCUAGGCAAACAAGUUUUCUUAACAGGCCAAUACCACCUCUCAAUGCCAGGCUUCUUCAUAUCCUAUUCUUUCUCCCAUUUCCUCUCUUGUAUUUGGCCACUUCUAUCCUUUUUUCCCCCCUCAGGACUCUGCUAUUUAUCCUUCACGAAAUCCAUCCAUAAAAUCUACCAAAUACGCACCACAGAAGCUUUCUACAGGCUUAUCUUUGGCAUAAUUUUUAUUUAACAACCUCUUAUUUUCCUUGUUGUAUCCUUUCUUGGAAGUGGAGUCUUUAAUUAUCUCCAGCACAUAGGAAGUGACCUGAGUGCUGAAUAAAAAAUAAGCAAUGGAAUCGCUACAUUAAAGAUGCUUACAAACUUUUAUUAUCAAUAAAAUCUAUAAAUUUUACACCUAUCAACUCAGAAAAAUUCACUGGGAGGAGAAAAACUAUUAAAAAGCCUAACUUCAAAUGAACUCAAACUUUCCUGCCAAAUCAUAAAUAUGAAAAGUAAAUCAUCCAUGUAUGCUAGAGGAUCUCUCUGGGAGAAGUGUCCUACAAUUUAUAACAUUUUACAAGUGGUUAAAUCCAUUAAAACUUCAAAAACUUUUAGAUUGUCUUUCUCCUGUAAUGUGAUAUCUUCCCUAACUUGCUAAAACUGAGAACCCAGCUAGCUUUACAUAACUGAAAUGAUUGAAUUUGUUUGCCUAAUACACUAAUAUUUGAUUUUAAUGAAUUAUCUCACUCCCACAAAGUGUCUUAUGUUAGCUGCCUUCAUACGUGGCCUUUUAAUCAUCCACAUCUAAGAAUACUGAGAUGCAAAAAUUGCUCAGAGUCCAGAUGAUAAUAAGGCUAAGUUUAUUUCUAGGCACAAGCAUUUAGAACAAACUGCCUGCAAGGGACAAAUUUACCGCCAUGGGCCUUUUACUUUCACUUGGUCUUACAGCUGCAGAAUCCAUCCCUAAUUUUUGUCAACUGCCCAUUGGCCUUUUAGAGGUUCUUAGUAAGAAAAUCAAUGGCUGAACUAACUACUGCGAAAACUGAAAGCACAUUAUCUUCUCAUGGUAAUUAAGUCAUUUAAUUAAUAUUAGGAAAUAAAGGAAUAAGCACUAAUAAAUGGCCAUUUAGAUUCUGGGUUUUGCGUGGUGACUUAGAUGUCUUCAGUUUCAUGGUUAAGAGUGUAAGGACUUUGGAAUCAGUUUCUAAUUUUAAAAUUAAAUUUCAUCAUUUGCUAUCUAUGUGACCCUGGAGGCAAGUUAUGCCCCUUUCCUUUGCCUACAUUUCUCCAUCUGUAAAAUACAGGUUAUACUGUAAAUAAUCAUGGUGAUGUUCUGAAGAGAAAAGCUAUCAUAAGCACUUAGCAAAGUGUUUGGCACAUUCUAAUUAUGCAACAAAAGCUAUCAUCAUGUCCACAGCUUCAAGUUACCUCUUGUAACUAACACUUCCUAAAUUCCUAUGGCUAAAUUACAAAUUUCUACUCAAGUGAAUUAAGUCCUGUGAUUAGACACCUACUUUCCCUGAAGGUUUUAAAAUUAUCUUCAGAUUCUGGCUUUCAUUUGUCUUCCCAAUGGCUUUCUGUUCCCUUAAAUUUGUCCUCCAUCUCUGCCCCCAAUUACUCAGCUCUUUCCUACAGAGGAUUUUAAGUAGCUUUACUGGGGGUAUGGUAGAAAGAGAAAGGGGACUUGAAGGAAUCUUUAAGGCAUCAAAAAUAGUCUAAGUUGGCCUCAAAUAUGAACUGAGUAGUCUGGGCUCAAUCUGUUACUGGAAUUCAGCUUUCUUUAGUAGGAAGCCUUUGAAGGUUUUACAUAAAAUUAUAAUGAUCCCAUUUAUUACUAUCAGCCUAAAGAACCAUUUAAAAUUUGUGAAUUUUCUUGACACAAUUUCCACAUUUUUCUGUACCUUAAGAAUGUAUCAUGCCUAGUUUUAUCAAUCAUGUUUUAUCACUGAUACUAACAGAAUCAAGGGUCUGUGGUACAUUUAUUUUGCUUUUGCCCAUCCAGCCUUCCUUGCCCAUUCUGGAAAAAGAAUGUUUUCAAUAAGGGGACCCAUUACAGAUGGUUUGGGUGGCACACUGAGUAUUUAGCAGGUGAGCCUAAAUACUCCUUUAUUGGAUUUACUUAUUCCCAUGCUUGUGUACUGCUACUUACAUCACAAUCAAAAGCAGGGAUUACCAGUUUUUUGAAUUAAAACAAGAUGCCCUCAAAGUUCAGAGUGCUAUGAAUGUUGCAACCUCAAAGUUAGCUAGUGAAUUUACAUUACUGCCUAUUACGACUCUAAAUCCUGAGAGCCAGAAAAGGCCUAUGAGCCUCAGAUCUUACAAAUAGCCUGGAGUACUUCUUGAGGAUUUGUAAACAUUCCUUGGACUCAGCAGUCCCUUGAGAAAAUCAUUUCCUCCAAAAUCUGUGUCUAUAUUCUCUAUCUUGUUUAAGCUCUCCCUCCAUUCCCAAACCUAGGAAUCAUCCUAAAUUUUCAUCUAGACCCUAAUUCAAGAUCCUCAGUCUCUCUUCUCUUCCUACUGCUUCUGCUGUAUUUCAUGCCCUCAUCCUAACUGGUCU